UACGUAGGUGGCAAGCGUUAUCCGGAUUUAUUGGGCGUAAAGAGGACGCAGGCGGUCUUUUAAGUCUGAUGUGAAAGCCUUCGGCUUAACCGGAGUAGUGCACUGGAAACUGGGAGACUUGAGUGCAGAAGAGGAGAGUGGAACUCCAUGUGUAGCGGUGAAAUGCGUAGAUAUAUGGAAGAACACCAGUGGCGAAAGCGGCUCUCUGGUCUGUAACUGACGCUGAGGUUCGAAAGCGUGGGUAGCAAACAGG
rnacentral:rRNA from 1 species